rnacentral:rRNA from 1 species
UACGUAGGGCGCAAGCGUUAUCCGGAAUUAUUGGGCGUAAAGAGCUCGUAGGCGGUUUGUCGCGUCUGCUGUGAAAACCUAAGGCUCAACCUUGGGCUUGCAGUGGGUACGGGCAGACUAGAGUGCGGUAGGGUGACUGGAAUUCCUGGUGUAGCGGUGGAAUGCGCAGAUAUCAGGAGGAACACCGAGUGGCGAAGGCAGGUCA